UACGUAGGGUGCGAGCGUUGUCCGGAAUUAUUGGGCGUAAAGGGCUCGUAGGCGGUCUGUUGCGUCGGGAGUGAAAACUCAGGGCUUAACCCUGAGCCUGCUUCCGAUACGGGCAGACUAGAGGUAUGCAGGGGAGAACGGAAUUCCCGGUGUAGCGGUGAAAUGCGCAGAUAUCAGGAGGAACACCGGUGGCGAAGGCGGUUCUCUGGGCAUUACCUGACGCUGAGGAGCGAAAGUGUGGGGAGCGAACAGG
rnacentral:rRNA from 1 species